rnacentral:rRNA from 1 species
AGAGUUUGAUCCUGGCUCAGGGUGAACGCUGGCGGUGCGCCUAAUGCAUGCAAGUCGAGCGAACCUGUGACUUCGGUCACACAUAGGUUAGCGGCGGACGGCUGAGUAACACGUGAGUAACUUGCCUUUUGGUGGGGUAUAGCCCAGAGAAAUCUGGAUUAAUCCCGCAUAAGAUCUUAGAACCCUGGUUCUUUGAUGAAAGCCUUCGGGCGCCGAAAGAGAGGCUCGCGGACUAUCAGGUAGUUGGUGGGGUAAUGGCCUACCAAGCCUAAGACGGUUAGCUGGUCUGAGAGGAUGAUCAGCCAGAGGGGGACUGAGACACGGCCCCCACUCCUACGGGAGGCAGCAGCAGGGAAUCUUGGGCAAUGGACGAAAGUCUGACCCAGCGACAUCGCGUGGGGGAUGAAGGCCUUAGGGUUGUAAACCCCUUUUAUAAGAGAAGAGUAAGGACGGUACCUUAUGAAUAAGCCCCGGCUAACUACGUGCCAGCAGCCGCGGUAAUACGUAGGGGGCGAGCGUUACCCGGAAUCACUGGGCGUAAAGAGAGCGUAGGCGGUUUGGAAAGUCAUUUGUGAAAGCUCCUGGCUCAACUAGGAGAGGUCAAGUGAAACUUCCUGACUUGAGGACGGUAGAGGUAAGCGGAAUUCUUGGUGUAGCGGUGAAAUGCGUAGAUAUCAAGAAGAACACCAGAGGCGAAGGCGGCUUACUGGGCCGUUUCUGACGCUGAGGCUCGAGAGCGUGGGUAGCAAACAGGAUUAGAUACCCUGGUAGUCCACGCC